UACAGAGGGUGCGAGCGUUUAAUCGGAAUUACUGGGCGUAAAGGGCGCGUAGGCGGCCUUCUAAGUCGAACGUGAAAUCCCCGGGCUCAACCCGGGAACUGCGUCCGAUACUGGGAGGCUUGAAUCCGGGAGAGGGAUGUGGAAUUCCAGGUGUAGCGGUGAAAUGCGUAGAUAUCUGGAGGAACACCGGUGGCGAAGGCGGCAUCCUGGACCGGUAUUGACGCUGAGGCGCGAAAGCCAGGGGAGCAAACGGG
rnacentral:rRNA from 1 species